CGUACACUCCUGCGGGAGGCAGCAGUGAGGAAUAUUGGACAAUGGGUGGAAGCCUGAUCCAGCCAUCCCGCGUGCAGGAAGACGGCCCUAUGGGUUGUAAACUGCUUUUAUCUGGGGAUAAACCUACUUACGUGUAAGUAGCUGAAGGUACCAGAAGAAUAAGCACCGGCUAACUCCGUGCCAGCAGCCGCGGUAAUACGGAGGGUGCAAGCGUUAUCCGGAUUUAUUGGGUUUAAAGGGUCCGUAGGCGGACUGAUAAGUCAGUGGUGAAAUCCGACAGCUUAACUGUCGAACUGCCAUUGAUACUGUUAGUCUUGAGUAAGGUUGAAGUGGCUGGAAUAAGUAGUGUAGCGGUGAAAUGCAUAGAUAUUACUUAGAACACCAAUUGCGAAGGCAGGUCACUAAGUCUUAACUGACGCUGAUGGACGAAAGCGUGGGGAGCGAACAGGAGUAGAUACCCCAGUAGUCCCAUGAU
rnacentral:rRNA from 1 species